CACAGCCAAUAUUUCUCUCUUAGCUAACAGAUCAAGCUGACCUGACUGUGAAUUGUGGCCCCUUCUACUUAAUAAGAAUGGACAACAGCUACGACAAAUCUGAACAAGCCAUAGUGCAUAAAACAGAUCCAGAUGCCGUGAAGAUAAAAUACCUCCUGUGUAAGGAACAGGCCAGAAUCAGGAUCUGUGAAGGUUGUUCUUAAAAUAAUCCCAACAUCUUACUUCUCUGUCAGAACUUUGGUGCUGAUCUUUUAGAGCUACUCUUUAAGAUCUUCAUAGAGAUGCCUCUACAAUCGGUGCCGUUUUGUAUGACUCCAAAUAUCCAUCUAUUCACUGUACGAAGGAAAAGUCAACUCUGUACAUUUUUACAGACUUAGCAUGCCUGUAAAAUCCAUCAUUGGCAACUUUCUCUAACCUCCACCCCACCCCAAUAAGUUUUCGCACAUUAUUUGGGGCAAAUGAAAACCAUUUACCUUUUUUUUUCUAGAGAAGAUUUACUGAGAUGUCUCUCGUCUGUUUUGCAGAUGUGCCUUGGUGAACUUAACAGUAAUGCAGACUGUCAUCAGGGCUGUCUUCAGAUCUUCGAAAUCGUUUUUUGCAUUGCACAGUACAUAUUUUAUUGGAUGUUUGCUCGAUCGGAAUAUAUAUCUAGCAUUUGUGUGUGGGCACAUAUGUGCCUGCCAUUGUAAACACUUUUGGUGCAAGCUGCUUAGUAAUAUCAAGGUUUUUGUAUUUCUAAGCAUAUAUUUACAGAUAUCUAAGGAUUUCCAGAACAAUUAGAAUAAAAGAAGAACUGUAGCUUAAUAAGUCUUCUGCCUUUUAAAUUACUUACAUCUUUCUUUUAUAGAAUAAAAUACCAGUUUGUAUUCAGUCAA